AGUACAUUUAAGAAACGAUGACUAUACGCAUUACACAGAAAUCCAUCUGACACUGAAGGACAGAUUCACAAAGUAGAAAAACACUGCUGACAGCACUUUGAGCUAAACAAGGUCCAAGCUGGUGGUUAGAGUUCAGUGAUCAGACUGGCAGCACUUGAAUGCCUCAUCUGGACCACAUGGCUGAUGAUGUGGCAGGUUUAACGUGGCGUGAAGCCAGCGUGAUGUUGUCAGUAACAGGUUCUCUGCUGCUGUACUGACCCUAUGCAGCCCCGCCUACUACUGUGGAAAGUGGGCGUGGCAAAGUUAUUCUCUGUGACAGUGCUUGACCAAAGCCAAAUCAAAUUAUUUUAAUUUAGAUCAUACUAA